rnacentral:lncRNA from 10 species
GAAGGUACUUGCUUCUCCUUUGCCUUGUGCCGUGAUUGUAAGUUUCCUGAGGCCUCCCCAACCAUGCAGAACUCACUUUAAAAUGGAAGCACCAACGCUGGCAUCAGCAGAGUCCUUCAAAGAAUUUGAUUCAGUGGAGGCCAACUCAACAAAAUAGAAAGCCCCAGAUGGACAGCCAUUGGCUGCACCUGGAGCAGACAAUUGAGAGGCCUGGCUCAUGGAUGGGUUUGAACCACCUCAGGACUGAAGAUGAGCGGCUCAGUUUCACUAACAACAAGAACAGUGACAAAUUCCCUGCCCGGCCCAAGCUCUGUGGUCCUUAUGCAGGU